rnacentral:rRNA from 1 species
AUGGGACUAGCUAGACCCGGCGAUACUCGUUGGGGUUCUCAUUUUAAAACCAUUAUGCACAUUGUUAGCAUGUAUUCCACAAUCCUUGAAGUACUUGAUGCUAUUGGAAAAGAUCCUUCACAAAAACGUGAGUGGACAAGAAUACGUGGAGUUGCUCAAGCCAUUGAAUCAUUUGACUUUGUUUUCAAUCUUCACUUGAUGCUUGUUAUUCUUGGCUAUACAAAUGAGUGGUCCAAAUCUUUGCCAAAGAGAGAUCAAGAUAUUGUUAAUGCAAUGGCACUUGUUAGUUUGGCAAAGAGUAGAAUGCAACACUUGAGGUCUCAUGGUUGGGAAGAAUUUCUUGCAAAGCUAACCUUAUUUUGCAACAAACAUGACAUUCAAGUUCCUUUGUGGGAGGAUACUUAUGAGCCUCAUGGAAGAUCACGUCGGCAUUAUGAAGUAUAAACAAAUGAUGAUCGUUAUAGAAGAGAGGUAUAUCUUUGUGUCAUUGAUCAAACCAUUCAAGAGCUUGACAAUCGGUUUGAUGAGGUUAAUACGGAGUUGCUUAUUUGCAUGUCGGCUUUGAACCCAAUCAACUCAUUUGCUUCUUAUGAUGCACUCAAGGUAAUGAGACUUGCCGAAUUCUAUCCCAUGAACAUAUCAAGCACAGAUUUGAUAAGGCUAGAAUUUCAACUUGCUACUUUUAUUGAUGAUAUGAGACAAGAUGAUAGGUUUAGAAAUGCAAGUAAUAUUGGUGAGCUCUCUAUUAUGCUUGUUGCAACAAAGAAGCAUGUUCUUUAUGAUUUGGUCUACUUACUCAUCAAAUUUAUAUUGAUUUUACUGAUGGAGACGACGAGUGUUGAAAGAGUAUUUUCAGCCAUGAAUCUAGUGAAAAGUAAGUUGAGGACUACUAUGAGUGAUGAUCGCUUGAAUGAUUGCUUGGUGACAUUUAUUGAACGAGAUGUGUUCAUGAAAGUAAGUGAAGAUGACAUAGUUGAUGCUUUCAUGGCAAUGCAAAAACGUAGAGUUACCUAG